CGGACGGGUGGAGUAACGCGUGGGUAACCUGCCCUGUACAGGGGGAGUAACAGUCAGAAAUGACUGCUAAUACCGCAUAAGACCACAGCACCACAUGGUGCAGGGGUAAAAACUACCGGUGGUACAGGAUGGACCCGCGUCUGAUUAGCUGGUUGGUGAGGUAACGGCUCACCAAGGCGACGAUCAGUAGCCGGCUUGAGAGAGUGAACGGCCACAUUGGGACUGAGACACGGCCCAAACUCCUACGGGAGGCAGCAUG
rnacentral:rRNA from 1 species